GCAGAGUAGGAUCCCGCGCGUCAAGUGCCGGCUGAACAGGGAGUUGUCAGCCGGACGAAAGAAAGUUCAUCAUCAGAUGUACUUUCUGCGGUGCCGGAUCCGCAUCCCGCUGC
rnacentral:ncRNA from 1 species